AUUCUUUGAUUGAACCAAGAAACCAAGAAGCUGCCUCCAACCCAGCCCCAGGGCUGGUAGAAGAAAUCAGCCGGUAUCAGAGGCCCCCUCCACCCCUGAAAGCUGGUUCACCUUGCCUGGGUUCCAAAGCUCCCCUAGGCAAGUGACAUCAGCUGGGGCAAGCUCUCGUAGACCAGGACCUGAGCCCAGAAAAAGGUGCAGCAGAGAGAAGGGCAAAAACCCCACCUGCAAGCCCACACCCAGAGAUACCCAGGAAGCCAACCAGUCUCCAGCCCAGAAAGUACAGUUCUUCAGAUACUUAAAAAGAGGAAAAGCUUUUAAGAGACAGAGAUACCCAGGAAACCAACCAGCCUCCAGCCCAGAAAGUACAGUUCUUCAGAUACUUAAGAGGAAAAAAGGAAAAGCUUUUAAGAGACAGAGAGGCACCGAGGAAGCCAACCAGCCUCCUGCCCAGAAAGUACGGUUCUUCAGUUACUUAAGAGGAAAAAAGGAAAAGCCUUUAAGAAACAGAGACCGAGGAAGCCAACCAGCCUCCAGCCCAGAAAGUACAGUCCUUCAGAUACUUAAGAGGAAAUAAGGAAAAGCUUUUAAGAGACAGAGAUACCCAGGAAGCCAACCAGCCUCCAGAACAGAAACUACAGUCCUUCAGAUACUUAAGAGGAAAUAAGAAAAAGCGUUUAAGAGACAGAGAUACCCAGGAAGCCAACCAGCCUCCAGCCCAGAAAGUACAGUUCUGCAGAUACUUAAGAGGAAAAAAGGAAAAGCUUUUAAGAGAGAAAACAUCCUGUAACAUUUACCUGUUAAAAAUUCUAUCUUAUGUCCCA